AGUAAUAGAACAAUCAUAAAUAAAUAAAAAAUGAAAAAGCUGAAAUUUUGAUUCCCUCCUAAAGUUCCCCCCAUACGCUCAUCUCAUUAACGCCUAUACUCAAAUAACUUCCCUCCAAAAUUAAACCCUCCACCUUCUCACUCACCCAAACCCUUCCCCUAAACACUUUGAUGAAAAACAGCGCAAUAUUAUAAUUUUUGCUUGCGGAUCUACCCGGAAAUCAGAGUAGAGGUGCUUCAAGUAGUCAUCAAGGUUGUAGCUUUGACAUACCUUCAAGCAGUCAAAGUAACAUUCUAGGGGAAGACUAUGAACAUGUAAACAGGUAUCAAGGUAUGGUUUAUGAUGCUGCUGGUGUAGAGUUCAAGCAUCAAGUUGAACCCAAUUUAGAAGAGUCUCCGAAUACGGAUGCUACCAGAUUUUACAAAAUGUUGAAUUCAGCUAAGGAACCCUUAUGGCCCGGAUGUAAAUAUUCAGAGUUGUCUGUGGCAGUCAGAGUGAUGAGUAUUAAAUCUAAGUACAAUAUGUCCCAUCGUUUUUUUAAUGCAAUGGCUCAAUUAAUGAAGGAUACAAGUCAUCAAGAUAGUAAGAUACCUCUUGAUUACUACUGGCCGAAGAAGCUAGUGUCAGGACUUGGUCUAACUAGUCAAAAAAUUGAUUGUUGUAUUAUGGAUGUAUGUUGUAUUACAAGGCUAAUAAAGAGAGACGGAAUGUAAGUUUUGUAAACAACCUUGCUAUAAAGAACGUGUGCACAAGAAGGGUAACAAAAAGGUUCCGCACAAGACAAUGCACCUGCCACUAAUUCCUCAGCUUCAACGACUAUAUGCUUCGAUGAGAUCUGCGGAGCACAUGAGGUGGCACUAUGAAAAUCGUAGGGAAGAAGGUGUGUUAUGCCACCCUUUGGAUGGAGAAACAUGGAAACAUUUCGACCGAACUUAUCCAGAUUUUGCUGCGGAGCCUAUGAAUGUUAGGCUCGGUCUCUGUUCUGAUGGCUUUACUCCUUAUAGCCAGUCAGCAUCACCAUACUCUUGUUGGCCGGUGAUUGUUACUCCCUACAAUCUUCCUCCUGAUAUUUGUAUGACUGCCCUAUAUAUGUUCUUAACAUUGAUCAUUCUAGGUCCUCAUAAUCCCAAGAAAAAAAUUGAUGUGUAUCUUCAACCGUUAAUAGAUGAGUUGCAACAAUGAUGGAAGGAUGGUGCACUAACUUAUGACGUGUCCAAGAAGCAAAAUUUUCGUAUGUGAGCUGCAUUGAUGUGGAUAAUUAAUGAUUUUCCUGCUUAUGGCAUGUUAUCAGGGUGGAGUACAGCGGGUAAAUUAGCAUGCCCAAUUUGCAUGGAACAAUCAAAAGCUUUCAGUUUGAAAUAUGGAAGGAAAGUUACUUGGUUUGAUUGUAACUGCCAAUUCUUGCCUCUCAAUCAUGAAUUUAUAAGAAACAAGAAUGCUUUUUAUAAAGGGAGAGAGGGUCUAAAAGAGAUGGACAAUCUAAUGGUAAAAGAGGAAAAUCAAGUAAAAGAAAGACAUGUGCGAUAAAGUGGCAAACAGUUCAAUUGCCUGCCAUUAUCCCUUCACGACCUCUCCCAUCUCAGAUUGGUCCACUUCAUGUCAAUGACUCUUCCUUGCAUCAAUCUAGUGUCAAAGUCAAUCGUUCCCAGCCUCAUAACACUAAUUUUGUGCCUCCCAUAAUUCCAUCACAACCCCUCCUAUCUCAUACUGGUCCACUUUAUGUCAAUGAGCCUUCCUUGCGUCAACCUAGUGUUGAUGUCAAUCGUUCCCAACCUCAUAACACACUAAUUUUGUGCCUCCCAUAAUCCCAUCACGACCCCUGUAUUCUCAUAUUGGUCCACUUCAUGUAAACGAGUCUACUUUGCCUCAACCUAAUCUUGAAAUUAAUCGAUUGCAACCUAAUAACAUUGAAUCUCAACCUCAAUCUAAUCAGUCCCAACCUAUAAAUCAAGAAACUGAUCCGUUGAUGUCACAACUGACUAAUAUGACUCCAGCCACCUCGUGUAGUACGGUUGGCAAUGGAGACGAUGAUCAGCGAAUAUGGAUUGUACCUGAGGUGGAUGGGUAACAGUACUAGUAAUAUAUGUGUGUGUGUGUGUAUAGAUGUUUGAUAACUACUGUAUUUUAUGUAGGUUUGAUUCUCACAAGCCAGUUAUUGAAGGUAUUGCUAGUUGCAUUCGUAGUAAAUUUGAGUUGGCUAAAUCUUCUUGGAAGAAGUUCCCGGAAUCUACUCGUGAUAUGUGGUUUGAGGAAUUCAAGGGAAGGAAAUUUAUAAUUAGGUUCAUGUUCAAAUACAGGUGGUGUGAGAUUGUAUGACUAAUGCAGUUUUCGUUUGAUAUGUGCAGAAGAAAUUUAGAUGGCUCCCUCACUAUAAUCAUGCUAUACGGUGCAAUUUUGAGAAAAGGGGAGCUGCAAAGAUGAGCCAACUUUUUCAAGAUGUUAGGAAAAACUUGAAUGUGAAGCCACAUUGAAUGGGGGAUGCUGUAUUCAAGGAGAUGAAGGAGCAUUGGGAGUCUGCUGCAUUCAAGAAAAAGUUCGAACAAAACAAGAAGAAUCGUGAUUCAAAUGCUGGUGCAUCACUUCAUACAGGUGGUUGCAUACCUCAUCGAGUCAUCUAUAAGAGAAUGAAAUAAGCUACUGGAAAAGAUCCUUCAAUUUCAGACUUUCAUUUCUGCACCCAUCGCAAGAAAAAUGAUAAAAAUUGGGUAAAUGAGAAAGCUGGAGCUACUUUUAUGAAUGCCAAUGCUGGAAAGGAUGAAACGUACAAAAUUCUUUUUUUUGUUAUGCUGCACGUACAUGAGAUUGUAAAGAUUAACACAUUAGUAAAGGUGUGAUAAUCUUUUGCUGUUCUCAUCGAACCAAAGGCAUUUGUUGUUGUAUCAGAUCCCAUUGUUUCUAGGUAUAUUCUUCGCGAGAAUGCAUAUUCUUAUGACAAGGUAUUGUACUAUGACUUCUCUCUUUCUCUCUCUCUCUCUCCAGCCCCUCCUCCUCCUCCCACCCCCAGAAAACCUCCUAGCCCUUUUGUUCUUUGCAACUCUUGUGUGCAUUCUUUAACACAUCUAAGGUCAUGCCUGCACUUGUAUAUACUCAUAUCUUAACUUGCCUCUAUCAAAAGUAAAUUAUCUAAAUUGCUUAUUAGCUUUGGUUAUAUUUGCAAUUCAAUAUCGCAAAAUGUCAAGUAUCAGUGGAACCUUUACACAACUAGUAGUUUCUCCUUGGUUCUUCAUUAGGUUAGUUACUAUGUUAUAUGGUGCAUCCGGAAUAGUUAUCCUUACUCAUUGAAGGAGAAAUCUACUGUAUGCAAAGAACUCAAGUUAACAUAUGAUAUUUGGACCUUGAUAUUACAUAUUUACAGUUUCUUGUUGCAUAUAGGUCCAUUAGUUUCUAUCAACUUCAAACCAUAAUAAUUCCAGGCCUUGUUUUUGUUAAGAACUUACUGAUGACCUUUCUUUUCUCUUUUUAAUUGUUAGGUAGAAAGUCUUGUUAAUAUACCUAUAUUAGCUGAUAUAAUUUAAUUUUUAUUGUUGCAUAAUUUUCUGUUUAAUAACAAUAGCAAGAAAUUCAGUCAACUUACCUUUAUUGUAUGUUGUAAUGCGGCUCUUCUUAUUUCUAGACUGAGUACUUUUGCUGUUAUAUGUUCAAUUUUUUAAUAAAGGGGUUACUUUUGCUGUUAUAUGUUCAACUGCAAAGAUUAACACAUUACUGCCUUUACUUUUAUUCUUUUUAUAUAUUCUCAUUGUAUGUGUCUUGUUCUCACUGUUGUCUUAAACUUUAAGGUUUAAAGCUCUUUUUAUUUUUUUAUUUUUUAAACAACUUUAAAGAAAUUCCAUUGCAAUAAGGAUCAGAAUUGUGGAUAUUCUUGAAAGAGACAUCAUAAAUAGAGAAAUUUGAGUAGAAGCAAACAAUACUAGCGCACUGUCGAAGGUCUGAUUAUUUUUCUCUCUUUAUCAUCACUUUUUUUCUUUUCCAGUUUUAAAAUUUUCAAGAUCUGAUUGUUUACGUUUUCAUUUGUUCAUUUAUAAUUUAUUUGUUGUGUUUCUUUUUCUUACAUAAUUUUAUACUGUUAAGUUAUUUUAGAUUUUCGAGAGUAACUCCUACCUAGUUUUCUGAUGCAAGAAAUGAGUUGGAUAGGAAGAAAUCAAAUUGGACUGAUUUUUCUAUCAACAGUUGAUGUAUGAAAAAACUCAAAUGGAGGCAAAGGAAGGGGGAUUGGGCAGUGAAAACUUAGGUGCUAUGUACUUGGGUACUUGAUCAGUAGGCAUAAACAUGAAGCAUUACAUAUGGUCUAAAAUAACUUGUUUUGAUGCAGAAUAAUUUUGAAAGAAAGAAACAAGAAUUAUCAGCUUCUCAAAGUGCAUCUGUUGUGGCAGGAGACACUAAUUCAGCUAGCCAAUCUUCUCAAUUAAGUGAAAUGGAUAUCUGGGUGCAAUUUGUUGGUGGAAAGAAAAAAGGAAGAGUUGCGGGUCUUGUCUCGUUGGGUCGAUCUGUAAAAGCACAUAAGCAAUCAACAUCGGCUUUAGCGGGAGAAAUUGAUGAGAUGAUUAAAUCCCAGGUACAUGCUUCCAAUGCUGACUUGUAUGCUAAGUGCGGGAAGAACGACGCAAAAAUAAGAGGAUGAGGAAAGAACUAGACUUGUUGAAGAAGCAUGUAUACAACGCAUCAUCUAAUGAACGUUCAUCUCAAGAAGACAAUCAAAGCUAUUAGAAUGAAAGUGAUGAUGACUCUGAUAAUGUGGAUGAAAGUGGCGAUGACUCUGAUAAUGUGGAUGCAAGUGAUUCUGAUCUGAGAACGUGAAUGAAAGGGACGGGAUUGAGAUAGUUGAUAGUACUAUUUAGGAUUCAAAUUUGAGAUUUUGUUUUUUCAUUUCAGAAUUAUACACUAUUGACAUGGAUGUUAUGAAUUAUGUUUUUUUUUUU